rnacentral:tmRNA from 1 species
GGGGCUGAUCGGUUUCGACGUCGAGACCGGAAGUCGAAUCGUGCGACCGGAGUUGCUCAGACUCCUUAAACGGGGCACCAACACAACUGCCGAAAACGAGCAGUACGCACUCGCCGCCUGAUCUAGUCAGGUGAUACGAGCGCUAUAGCGACCAGCAAUGGCACGCGGGGCCUGAUCACCGCAGCCUGGCAACAGAAGCGGUGGUUGACAGCGGGAAAGACUGCUGACGGCGUGAAAGACCGCUGACCCCAGGGAAAGACCUGGCGGCGGCCCUCUCGCAGGGCCAACCGACCCGGCGGCGCGGCAGCCGUGAAGCCGCAACUCGCGGGAAUGGUCGUAGCGCGGUCUUCAACCGCUCGGCGGACGGGGGUUCGAUUCCCCCCAGCUCCACUU